AUGAUCAAGUGGGGGAUCAGCAGCGGGACGCCCGCGGAUUCGUACUACGAGAUCCGCUCCGAUUGCACAGACGAUGUGCCCAAAAGCAAGUUCAAGAUCAAGGCUGGCAAAACACUGAGUGUUCGGAAAUGGCAAGCUGCAUUUAAUCCUGAUGGCUGUCUUGACAUUGUCUCGGUCCUAAGCCGGAUACAAAAAGGAGGUGUUCACCCGACUGUCAGGGGGGAGGUUUGGGAGUUCUUACUUGGCUGCUUUGAUCCGAGGAGUACCUUUGAUGAGAGGGAGGAGAUCAGGCAAAUAAGAAGGCUACAAUAUGCUAGAUGGAAGGAAGAAUGCAAAGAGAUGGAUUCUCAUGUUGGUAGUGGUAAGGUUAUCACAGCACCACUUAUCACUGAGGAUGGAAGACCUAUCAAGGAUCCUUUGGUUUUACUUGAGGCUACUUCAAACCAAAACACCUCAGAGGGUGCUUCAACUAGCAGCCACAAUGGAAUUGAAGUAGACGAAUCUGCAGAAUGUAUUACUGACAAGCAAAUUAUUGAAUGGAAGCUUACAUUACAUCAAAUUGGACUUGACGUGCUACGUACUGACCGCACCAUGGUAUUUUACGAGAACAAGGAAAAUCUUUCAAAGUUGUGGGAUAUUCUAGCCGUGUAUGCAUGGAUUGACAAAGAUGUUGGUUACUGUCAAGGAAUGAGUGAUUUAUGCUCACCAAUGAUUGUGCUACUCAACGAUGAGGCAGAUGCGUUUUGGUGCUUUGAGAAGUUGAUGCGUAGAUUGCGAGGAAAUUUCAGAUGCACAGAUCAAUCUGUUGGGGUGGCUAACCAACUUCAGCACCUUGCAUCUAUCAUUCAGGUGCUGGACCCCAAGCUACAUGACCACCUAGAAACACUUGGUGGAGGUGACUAUCUUUUUGCAUUCCGUAUGUUCAUGGUUCUAUUUCGACGUGAGGUGUCAUUUGGGGACUCCUUGUACCUGUGGGAGAUGAUGUGGGCUCUCGAAUACGAUCCGGAUAUCUUCUUUGCAGCAUGUGAAGAAGCAAGCGGUGCACAUAAAAAAGUAUCGAAAUCAAAAUUAAGAGGAGUGCGCCAUUUUGCCAAGUGGGAUAAGGACAAGGACAAGGACAAGGACAAGGACAAGGACAAGGAUGUCUCUGAGGAAACUGAUGGCCCAGUUCCCAUUUCAGUUUUCAUGGUUGCAAGUGUGCUCAAGGAAAAGAGAGAAAAACUGUUACAAGAAGCUAGAGGACUGGAUGAUCUUAUUAGGAUAUUGAAUGAUGUAAAUGGGAAUUUAGAUGCGAAAAAAGCCUGCGCUGGAGCUCUGAAACUUCACAAGAAAUACCUCAAACUGGUACAGGCAAAGAAAACCUAA
rnacentral:rRNA from 1 species